rnacentral:lncRNA from 12 species
UCACAGUUUUGGAGCUGGUAAGAGUCCGGUUGUUUUUCUGUUUCCUACAAUGAUCUGAAUUUGGAGACUUGGUUUAACCUAUUUUUAAUUCCUUCUGAAGUGAUCAAAGAUAUUUAAGGUGGGAGGAGGAGCACCUGUGUGGUGCUAGCUGUAGAGGACUCACUUGUCUACAGGAACCAAACUGAACAGUGCAAUUCCUCGAAACAAAGAAAAAAGCAGUGUGUGCCCAUGAAAACAAGGGCUCAGAAGAAAACGUGGGUUCCUAAGUCUUUCCCAACACCUUAAUUCUUAUAGUGAGCGAGCUGGGAGGGAGCUGCCCUAUCGUGGCUAGCUGAGGUCAGCACGUCUGGACUGAGAGCCCCAAACAAUAGAGAACCUGCCAUGAGGCCCCGCAGCCCACAGGUCGCAACGACUCCCAUACCAGAGAUGGGAUGUUGACUAGUCUUGACCUGGAGCCACUACAAAGCAUCAGUAAAGCGG